rnacentral:rRNA from 1 species
UCCUGGCUCAGGAUGAACGCUGGCGGCGUGCUUAACACAUGCAAGGUCGAACGGAGUUAUCAAUGAAACCUAGUGAUUUGAUAACUUAGUGGCGGACGGGUGAGUAACGCGUGGGUAACCUGCCUUAUCCAGGGGGAUAACAGUGAGAAAUUACUGCUAAUACCGCAUAAGCGCACGGUAUCGCAUGAUACAGUGUGAAAAGAUUUAUCGGGAUAAGAUGGACCCGCGUCUGAUUAGCUGGUUGGUGAGGUAACGGCCCACCAAGGCGACGAUCAGUAGCCGGCCUGAGAGGGUGAACGGCCACAUUGGGACUGAGACACGGCCCAAACUCCUACGGGAGGCAGCAGUGGGGAAUAUUGCACAAUGGGGGAAACCCUGAUGCAGCGACGCCGCGUGAGUGAAGAAGUAUUUCGGUAUGUAAAGCUCUAUCAGCAGGGAAGAAAAUGACGGUACCUGACUAAGAAGCCCCGGCUAACUACGUGCCAGCCGCGGC